rnacentral:tRNA from 1 species
GCCAUGGCUCAGUGGUAGAGCAUCUGCUUGGCACGCAGACGUUUCCAGGUUCAAUCCCCAGCAUUUCCCA